rnacentral:tRNA from 1 species
GUCAGGAUGGCCGAUGGGUCUAAGGCGCCAGACUCAAGAAAAAAAUACAGUGUGGAAUCAAGCUGUAAAUCAAAAAAAAAGAAUAAUCUUGUGGGUGUUCUGGUUCACGAUGUGGGUGUGGGUUUGAAUCCCACCUCCGACA